GACGAACGCUGGCGGCGUGCUUAACACAUGCAAGUCGAACGCAAAGGCCUGCCUUCCCUUGUGGAUUGCGGGUACUCGAGUGGCGAACGGGUGAGUAACACGUGAGUGAUCUGCCCCCAACUCGGGUAUAAGCCUGGGAAACUGGGUCUAAUUCCCGAUAGGACUGCAGGGUGGUGCCGGUGGUGGAAAACGAUUUUCUAGUGGUUGGGGAUGAGCUCGCGGCCUAUCAGGUUGUUGGUGGGGUAAUGGCCUACCAAGGCGGCGACGGGUAGCCUGCCAGGGAGGGGGGGCCGGCACAUUGGGAGUGAGAUACGGCCCAGACUCCGACGCGAGGCGGAAGAGGGGAAUAAAGCACACUAGGCGGAAGACUGAUGCAGCGACGCCGCGUGGGAGAUGACGGCGUUCGGGUUGUAAACUCCUUUCGCGCGCGAGGGAGCCACCUGGUUGGAAGUGUGGUGAGGGUAGUGGUAAAAGAAGCACCGGCUAACUACGUG
rnacentral:rRNA from 1 species